UCGCGGUUGUUGCUGGCCUCCGAGGGGGCAUGUGCACGCUCGAGCACUUUCUUUCUUCAUUUACACACCUGUGAACCUGUUUGUAGGGUGCCUUCACUGGCACUCUAUGUCUUUUCAUAUACUCCAUUGUAUGUCGAUAGAAUGUAUCUUUUGCUCUCGUCAGAGACAAAGAAUAAAGUUAUUAUAACUUUCAGCAACGGAUCUCUUGGCUCUCGCAUCGAUGAAGAACGCAGCGAAUUGCGAUAUGUAAUGUGAAUUGCAGAUUUUCAGUGAAUCAUCGAAUCUUUGAACGCACCUUGCGCUCCUUGGUAUUCCGAGGAGCAUGCCUGUUUGAGUGUCAUCAAAUUCUCAACUCCCUUUGAUUUAUUUCAAAGGUGAGCUUGGAUGUUGGAGGCUGCCGGCUGCAAAGUCGGCUCUUCUGAAAUGCAUUGGCAAAGGCGUUUGCAUUCAUCGGCCUUUCGGUGUGAUAAUGAUCACCGGGGCUGGCUUGCUUAUAACACCUAUGUCUAAUCUUUUUCCAUUUGGUUGGAAAAAGCUUACUUGACAAUUUGACCUCAAAUCAGGUAGGACUACCCGCUGAACUUAAGCAUAUCAAUAAGCGGAGGAAAAGAAACUAACAAGGAUUCCCCUAGUAACUGCGAGUGAAGCGGGAUGAGCUCAAAUUUUGAAUCUGGUGGUCUGUGGCCGCCCGAGUUGUAAUCUAGAGAAGUGUUUUCCGCGCUGGACCGUGUACAAGUCUCCUGGAACGGAGCGUCAUAGAGGGUGAGAAUCCCGUCUCUGACACGGAGCCCAGUGCUUUGUGAAGCGCUCUCGACGAGUCGAGUUGUUUGGGAAUGCAGCUCAAAUUGGGUGGUAAAUUCCAUCUAAAGCUAAAUACAGGCGAGAGACCGAUAGCGAACAAGUACCGUGAGGGAAAGAUGAAAAGAACUUUGGAAAGAGAGUUAAACAGUACGUGAAAUUGCUGAAAGGGAAACGCUUGAAGUCAGUCACGUCUGCUUGGGAUCAGCCUUGCUCUUUUGCUUGGUGUAUUCUCUUGCUGACGGGUCAGCAUCAAUUUUGGGCGCCGGAUAAAGGCAGAGGGAAUGUGGCACCUUUCGGGGUGUGUUAUAGCCCUUGGUUGUAUACGGUGGCUGGGAUUGAGGAACUCAGUACGACCUUCGGGUUUGGGGCUUCGGCCUACAAAUGUGCUUAGGAUGCUGGCAUAAUGGCUUUAAUCGACCCGUCUUGAAACACGGACCAAGGAGUCUAACAUGCCCGCAAGUAUUUGGGUGUUUAAAACCCUUAUGCGAAAUGAAAGUGAAAGUUGGGAUCCCUGUCGUGGGGAGCACCGACGCCCGGACCUGAACUUUUGUGACGGCUCUGCGGUAGAGCGUGUAUGUUGGGACCCGAAAGAUGGUGAACUAUGCCUGAAUAGGGCGAAGCCAGAGGAAACUCUGGUGGAGGCUCGUAGCGAUUCUGACGUGCAAAUCGAUCGUCGAAUUUGGGUAUAGGGGCGAAAGACUA
rnacentral:rRNA from 1 species